rnacentral:rRNA from 1 species
GCUGGCGGCGUGGAUAAGGCAUGCAAGUCGAGCGAGAAAGUCCCUUCGGGGAGCGAGUACAGCGGCAAACGGGUGAGUACCACGUGGGUAACUUGCCUUCGGGUGGGGGACAACCUCGGGAAACCGAGGCUAAUACCGCAUAACGUUAUGCUUUCGCAUGUUAGCAUAACCAAAGGGGGGGAUCUUCGGACCUCCCGCCUGAAGAGAGGCCCGCGCCUGAUUAGCUAGUUGGUAGGGUAAUGGCCUACCAAGGCGAUGAUCAGUAGCCGGUCUGAGAGGAUGGCUGGCCACACUGGGAUUGAGAUACGGCCCAGACUCCUACGGGAGGCAGCAGUCUAGAAGCUUCGGCAAUGGGCGAAAGCCUGACCGAGCGACGCCGCGUGCAGGACGACGGUCUUCGGAUUGUAAACUGCUUUCGACAGGGAUGAACGGUAAGGAAGUUAAUAACUUCUUUAUUUGACAGUACCUGGAGAAGAAGCCCCGGCUAACUCCGUGCCAGCAGCCGCGGUAAUACGGAGGGGGCAAGCGUUGUUCGGAUUUAUUGGGCGUAAAGCGCGUGUAGGCGGUAGAGUAAGUCGAAUGUUAAAGACCCACGGUUCACCCGGGGGAAUGCGUCCGAUACUGCUUUACUUGAGUGCGGGAGAGGAAAGUGGAAUUCCUGGUGUAGCGGUGAAAUGCGUAGAUAUCAGGAGGAACACCGGUGGCGAAGGCGGCUUUCUGGCCCGCAACUGACGCUGAGACGCGAAAGCGUGGGGA